rnacentral:rRNA from 1 species
GAAUAUUGCGCAAUGGGCGAAAGCCUGACGCAGCGACGCCGCGUGAGGGAUGAAGGCCUUCGGGUUGUAAACCUCUUUCAGCAGGGAAGAAGCGAAAGUGACGGUACCUGCAGAAGAAGCACCGGCUAACUACGUGCCAGCAGCCGCGGUAAUACGUAGGGUGCAAGCGUUGUCCGGAAUUAUUGGGCGUAAAGAGCUCGUAGGCGGUCUGUCGCGUCUGCUGUGAAAUCCCAGGGCUUAACCCUGGGCCUGCAGUGGGUACGGGCAGACUAGAGUGCGGUAGGGGAGAUCGGAAUUCCUGGUGUAGCGGUGAAAUGCGCAGAUAUCAGGAGGAACACCGGUGGCGAAGGCGGAUCUCUGGGCCGUAACUGACGCUGAGGAGCGAAAGCAUGGGUAGCGAACAG